rnacentral:rRNA from 1 species
GUGCCAGCAGCCGCGGUAAUACGUAUGGGGCAAGCGUUAUCCGGAUUCAUUGGGCGUAAAGAGCGCGUAGGCGGAUUGUUAAGUCAGAUGUGAAAACUGGGGGCUCAACCCGCAGCCUGCAUCUGAAACUGGCAGUCUUGAGUCUGGUAGAGGAGUGUGGAAUUCCCAGUGUAGCGGUGAAAUGCGCAGAUAUUGGGAGGAACACCAGUGGCGAAGGCGGCACUCUGGGCCACGACUGACGCUGAGGCGCGAAAGCUAGGGGAGCAAACAGGAUUAGAUACCCUGGUAGUCCUAGCCGUAAACGAUGGGCACUAGGUGUGGGGGGUCAUCAACUCCCUCCGUGCCGCAGCUAACGCAUUAAGUGCCCCGCCUGGGGAGUACGGCCGCAAGGCUAAA